rnacentral:lncRNA from 1 species
AUUGAUUGUGCUUGUGGUGCUAUGCUGUUUGUUCAUCAAAAAGUAUCACCAGAGGAAGAUGGGAUUACGGUGCAGAUUGGACCUCUGAACCAUUCUUUUUAAAAAUGGAGGUUAGAUGGCAGAAACUGGCCCUACAAAUGGAAACAGGAAAUUGGGACCUAAAAAAAUUUUUUUUUUGGAAAAUAUCUAAGAUGCCCUGGACACAAAAGAGGAAGAAGGAAACGUUGAUAAGACUUUGACAAACAAGAUGAUUUCAUUGUAGACAACUUUGAGAAAAUGUUUAUAGUUCAAAUAGACCAGGUCAUAGCUCAAAGGUAUAUGCUGACUUCAAUUUUGUCUCAACCAGUUCUCCUGUUAUAUUUCCUCUUUAAAUUGAAACCAGAUAAUGAUUGGAUCAUGAGAUUUAUAACUAAAAGUAGCUUUAGAGGUCUUUGAAUCUAACCUACUUUAUAUAGAUAAGGAAACAGAAGUCCCAAAGAAAUUGUUAUUCCCCAAAAGUCAGACUUAAAACCCCAGCCUUCUGGCAUGUUUUCUUCUAUUCUAUGAAUGUAGAAUAAUGAAGAAGAUACUGGACAUUAAGAAAAACUAGGUUCAAUUCUUAUUUCCAGCAUUUUAUAGGUAUGUGAUCAUGAAUAAGUUUCUAAACUUGUUUUCUCAUCUGUUAAAAGUAGAUAGCAACAGAUCUGCAAUUUAAAUGAAAGAACAUAAAUAAAGAACUUUGUAAAG